GGUAAUUCCAGCUCCAAUAGCGUAUAUUAAAAUUGUUGCAGUUAAAAAGCUCGUAGUUGAAUUUCUGCUGCAUUGCUUGUGUCCCUCCGGGGUCUGUGCAUGUGGCUUUUUUCGGACGGAGUUUCUUUGUCUGAAUGUUUACUUUGAGAAAAUUAGAGUGCUCAAAGCAGGCUUUUGCCUUGAAUAGUUUAGCAUGGAAUAAUAAAGUAGGACUUUGGUUCUAUUUUGUUGGUUUUAGGUACCAAAGUAAUGGUUAAUAGGAACAGUUGGGGGCAUUCGUAUUUAACUGUCAGAGGUGAAAUUCUUAGAUUUGUUAAAGACGAACUACUGCGAAAGCAUUUGCCAAGGAUGUUUUCAUUAAUCAAGAACGAAAGUUAGGGGAUCGAAGACGAUCAGAUACCGUCGUAGUCCUAACCAUAAACAAUGCCGACUAGAGAUUGGAGGUCGUCAGUUUUUACGACUCCUUCAGCACCUUGAGAGAAA
rnacentral:rRNA from 1 species